CCUUCUUUUCCCUUCCCUCCUUCCCUCCAGACUCUUUCUCCUUCACUUUCCUUUCCCUCCCCUUCCCCUUUUCCUUCAUCCUUCUUUGUGUUUCCCUUCCCUCUCUCCAGAUUCCUUCCACUUCUCUCUCCUUCCUUCUCCCUUCCCUCCUUUCCUCCCCUCUCUCCAGACUCUUUCCCCUUCUUUCUCUCCUUCCCCCUCCCCUCUUUCUUUCAUCCUUCCCCUUCCCAAAUUUCUGUUUUCCUUUCCUAUCUCCAGACUCCUUCCCCUUCUCUCUCCUUCCUUCUCCCUUCCCUCCUUCCCUUCCCUCUCUCCAGGCUCUUUCCCUUCCUUCUCUCCUUCCCUUCCUCCUUCCCCUUCCCUUCUUCCUGUUUCCCUUCCCCCAUACUCCUUCCCCUUCCCUCUCUCCUUCCCCCAUAUCCAAUUUCUAAGUCUUUAACUAAACCUAAUUUCAACGUCUUUUGAAGUCAUCCUUCCUAUCCUGGACACCCCUUCGACCUCUCUGAGCCUUGAAAGACGAGCCAGGGCCCUUUUUCUUGAGGAAAGAAAAUGUCUCUCUUGGAGAAAAAAAAAAUUCAUCCUUUGACAGCGGGAAAAUGAAUGUAUCCCCGUCUCUUUUCUUUGAGUGAGCGAUCCUCGCGGCUUACUAUGGCGUUUUUCAGCUUCAGUGAUUUUAAGAUGUGUGGACUUCAUCUCCCAGAAUUCCCCAGCCAACACGUUGCUGAGUUUGAGAAGCACUGCAAGGAAGAAUGGAGAUGACAAGGUUAUUUCUGCAAUGCUUUUCUUCCUUCCCGAAAACAUAUUUCUUAGAGGGAAAAGUCGACAGUUCUUCAGACUGAUGUUCCAGACCAACAAACCCACUUUCCUGUUUCCUAGAGUAGCUCAGAAUCAGAGCACCAUGGAAAUACGGAUUUCUAAAAUGAAGCUGGAAUUUGAAAGGUCAUCAGAUCCGCCUGGGACCAUCAGACCUUCCAGCUCCUCUUUGAUGUUCUACUGCAAUAUAAGGGAACCAUUAUUUUAAUGACUAAAUGUAAAUCUGUUGAAGACGGAGAUGGCUAUGGCUUCAGUUGUCUACCUGACAUUAGAAGUAACAUCUGGAUCAGCAGAAGACUAUUCUCUGGUUGCUCAAGAUAUGUAGUCAAUUAUCAAUUCUUCCUUCCUUCCCUCCCUCCCUCCGUCCUUCCUUCCUUCCUUCCUUCCUUCCUUCCUUCCUUCCUUCCUCCUUUCCUUCUUCCUUUCCUCCCAUCUAUUUCCUUCCUUCCUUCCACCCAUCUAUUUUCUUCCUCCUUUCCUUCCUCCCUCCCUUCCUUCCUUCCUCCCAUCUAUUUCCUUCCUCUUUUCCUUCCUCCUUUCCUCCCAUCUAUUUCCUUCCUUCCACCCAUCUAUUUCCUCCCUCCUUUCCUUCCUCCUUUCCUUCCUCCUUCUCUCCUUCCUUCCUUCCCUCCCUCCCUCCUCCCUCUCUUUCUCUCUCUCUCUCUCGCUCCAUAAACACACAGACACACAGACAGAGAUCUGUACAGGUAGUCCUCGACUUAUGACCACAAUUGAGCCCAACAUUUCGGUUAUUAGGCAAGCACACUUGUUGAGUGAAUUUUGCCCCCUUUUACGACCUUUCUUGCCACCGUUAUUAAAUGAAUCAUUGCAGGUUGACUAUUUAGUAACAUGUUUAGUGAAUCUGGCUUCCCCAUUGAUUUUGCUUGUCAAAGGGUUGCAAAAGGUGAUCACGUGACCUUGAGAUGCAACAACGGACAGAUGUAUGAACCAAUCACCAAACGUCUGAAUUUUGAUCACAUGAUCGUUGGGAUGCCACCAAGGUAGUAAGAGUGAAAAAAAUGGUCAUAAGUCACUUUUUUCAGUGCCGUUGUAACUUUGGAUGGUCACUAAAUCACACACACACACACACACACACACACACACACACACACACACACACUUCUAAAACAGAACUAAGUGGAGAAAUGCUUCCAAAGAAAUUGGUUUAUUGGUAUUUCACAGACAUUGAAGCUAAUGGAUAGGAAAUUAGCACAAAGCUAAAAACAGAAGGACUGUUGGAGCAGAGGUGGGUUUCAGCAGGUUCUGACCAGUUCUGGAGAACCGGUAGCGGAAAUUUUGAGUAGCUCGGAGAACCGGCAGUAAAAAUUCUGACUGGCCCCGCCCCCAUCUAUUCUCUGCUUCCUGAGUCCCAGCUGAUUGGGAGGAAAUGGGGAUUUUGCAGUAACCUUCCCCUGGAUUGGGGAGGGAAUGGAGAUUUUACAGUAUCCUUCCCCUGCCACACCCACCAUUCCACGCCCACCAAGCCAUGCCAUGCCCACCAAGCCACACCCACAGAACCGGUAGUAAAAAAUGUUGAAACCCGCCACUGCAUUGGAGAUCCACUAUGUAUCAGCCAAGGACCUACUUGUAGACCUCUGCAAUUGAUCUAUUAUUUGUUGAUGCUACUUGUGAGGAUCUGAAGAUGACGUGUUUUUAACACCGAGUUUUAGUUCAGAAGGACAAAGGUAUAGAGCACAAAAAAGUGCUUGUAUCUAGGCAUGCUUGACGAUAGAGGUUCUCUGAAAGGGACCUUAUGUUUAAUUUUCAAAACUCCUGAAAGCUGCAUAUACCAAGAUCUCAUAUUGCUCCCCCGC